CGGACGGGUGAGUAACGCGUGGAAAACCUGCCGUAUACUGGGGGAUAACACUUAGAAAUAGGUGCUAAUACCGCAUAAGCGCACAGCUUCGCAUGAAGUGGUGUGAAAAACUCUGGUGGUAUACGAUGGUUCCGCGUUUGAUUAGCUUGUUGGUGGGGUAAUGGCUCACCAAGGCGACGAUCAGUAGCCGGCCUGAGAGGGUGAACGGCCACAUUGGGACUGAGACACGGCCCAAACUCCUACGGAAGGCAGCAG
rnacentral:rRNA from 1 species